rnacentral:pre_miRNA from 7 species
GACCGCCAGUGAAAAUCGAUUUUCACUGGCGGUUUUAUUACGUCGACCGCAAGUGAAAAUCGAUUUUCACUGGCGGUC